UGAGCAAUCUGCCCUUCUCUUCGGAAUAAGCGUUGGAAACGACGUCUAAUGCCGAAUACGACCUCCUUUCGCAUGAUCGGAGGUGGAAAGCUCCGGCGGAGAAGGAUGAGCUCGCGGCCUAUCAGCUAGUUGGUGUGGGUAAUGGCCCACCAAGGCGACGACGGGUAGCCGGCCUGAGAGGGUGACCGGCCACACUGGGACUGAGACACGGCCCAAGACCUCCCGUACGGGGA
rnacentral:rRNA from 1 species